AACUACAUGGUGAACACAAAGUGAAUUAUGCUUUCGCCUUUUACUAAAGAAUACCGUGUAUUCGCCACUUUAAGUAACAUGUGCUAAUUUUUGUAAGGCUUUCUUGAAAAAGAGCCC